rnacentral:lncRNA from 1 species
UCUGUCUCCCAAUGUAAAAAUGGCGGUUUUGGGCCCCCCAUACAAUAAAUGUCGUUUCGAGCUCCCCCCCCCAUACAAAAAACUGGACGGUUUCGAGUCCCCCCCCAUACAUUAAAUGUCAGUUUCGAGUCCCCCCCCAUACAAAACUGUCGGUUUCGGGUCCCCCGGCAGCAGUUUGGGCACUGAUGGGCGUCCCCCCCAAACCAACGGUUUAUAGGCCCCCCCGCACUUAUGGGCAGGGAUGGGUGCCCCCCCCCGGCACUUAUGGGGCAGCUAUGGGGCAGGGAUGGGUGCCCCCCCGCAACUUAUGGGCAGCUAUGGGCAGGGCAUGGGUGCCCCCCCCGGCACUUAUUGGGCACCUAUGGCAGGAUGGGUGCCCCCCCCGGCACUUAAUGGGCAGAGCUAGGGGCAGAAGGAUGGGUGCCCCCCCUGGCACGUAUGGGGACAAGCUAUGGAGGAUUGGGUGCCCCCCCCCCGCACUUUGGGCAGCUAAUGGGGAGGGAUGGGUGCCCCCCCUGGCUUUAAUGGGCAGCUAUGGGGCAGGAUGGAUGUUUUUCCACACCCGUGGUUGGUUAUGGUGCGGUUAUGGGCAGCUGUGGCGUCCCCAACUCGGGUUAUGGGCGGAUCUGGAGGUUCGGGUGUUCCCCCGGCAGCCCGCUAAUGGGGGCAGGGAUGGAAGAUAUGGGGCAGGGAAUGGAAGAUAUGGGGCAGGGAUGGAAGAUAUGGGGCAGGGAUGGAGGAUAUGGGGCAGGGAUGGAAGAUAUGGGGCAGGGAUGGAAGAUAUGGGGCAGGGGAUGGAAGAUAUGGGCAGGAUGGACAGAUAUGGGCAGGAAUGGAAGCUAUGGGUCACCCCCCACGCGCAGCGCAGUUAUGCGGCAAUUGAUGUGUUUGUUAUGGCUUUAUAGGGCAGCAUAUAGGCAAGCCUAUGGGGCAGCUAUUUGGCAGCUAUGGGCAGCUAAUGGGCAACUAUUAGGGCAGCUAUGGGCGUUAUAGGGCCACUAUAGGGCAUCUGUAGACCCCGUGCCGCUAUUGGGCAGCUAUGGGUCAUUAUAAGGCAGUUAUAGGGUGGCUAUGGGGCAGCUAUAGGGCCGCUAUGGGGCAGCUAUAGGGCAGCUAUGGGGCCACUAUAGGGCAUCUGUAGGGCUGCUAUGGGGCAGCUAUGGGUCAUUAUAAGGCAGUUAUAGGGUGGGCUAUGGGGCAGCUAUAGGGCCGCUUUGGGGCAAGCUAAGGGCAGCUCAUGGCCACAUAUAGCGGCAUCU